CGAACCGUGGCGGGAGAGUCCUCCCAGCAAUUUUGGCGGCGCCGUAGGAGCAAAUCCUCCCCAGGAAUCUCUCAGGCCCAUGUACCGCCACGGCGAG
rnacentral:ncRNA from 2 species